ACGCAUGUCUAGAGUUUGAAAGAUGGUUCUGCUAUCACUCUUGGAUGGACCUGCGGUGCAUUAGCUAGUUGGUAAGGUAACGGCUUACCAAGGCAAUGAUGCAUAGCCGAGUUGAGAGACUGAUCGGCCACAUUGGGACUGAGACACGGCCCAAACUCCUACGGGAGGCAGCAGUAGGGAAUCUUCCACAAUGGACGAAAGUCUGAUGGAGCAACGCCGCGUGGGUGAAGAAGGGUUUCGGCUCGUAAAGCUCUGUUGGUAGUGAAGAAAGAUAGAGGUAGUAACUGGCCUUUAUUUGACUGUAAUUACUUAGAAAGUCACGGCUAACUACGUGCCAUCAGCCGCGGUAAUACGUAGGUGGCAAGCGUUGUCCGGAUUUAUUGGGCGUAAAGCGAGUGCAGGCGGUUCAAUAAGUCUGAUGUGAAAGCCUUCGGCUCAACCGGAGAAUUGCAUCAGAAACUGUUGAACUUGAGUGCAGAAGAGGAGAGUGGAACUCCAUGUGUAGCGGUGGAAUGCGUAGAUAUAUGGAAGAACACCAGUGGCGAAGGCGGCUCUCUGGUCUGCAACUGACGCUGAGGCUCGAAAGCAUGGGUAGCGAACAGGAUUAGAUACCCUGGUAGUCCAUGCCGUAAACGAUGAGUGCUAAGUGUUGGGAGGUUUCCGCCUCUCAGUGCUGCAGCUAACGC
rnacentral:rRNA from 1 species